rfam:Mus musculus chromosome 12, GRC primary reference assembly.
ACUCCCUGGCCAUGGGCAAAGAGACACCGUAAUGGUGGUGGUGUUCUUAUAUCAGUCAGAGACAGAGCAGACGGCAGUCCUUUGUUCAUCCUAGAUUGAUGCUUAUCUUGAUGGCCAAAGCUCGUUUUCUCCUCGAACAUAUAG